rnacentral:rRNA from 1 species
CCCGGCACAAGCGGUGGAGCAUGUGGUUAAUUCGAUGAUACGCGAGGAACCUUACCUGGGCUCAAAUGUAUGUUGACGUAUUCUGAAAGGGAUACUUCUUCGGACAAUAUACAAGGUGCUGCAUGGUUGUCGUCAGCUCGUGCCGUGAGGUGUCGGGUUAAGUCCCAUAACGAGCGCAACCCCUAUCAUUAGUUGCCAUCAGGUCAAGCUGGGGACUCUAAUGAAACUGCCUACGCAAGUAGUGAGGAAGGUGGGGAUGACGUCAAAUCAGCACGGCCCUUACGUCCAGGGCUACACACGUGCUACAAUGGCCGGCACAACGGGAAGCGAGUUCGCGAGGACGAGCGGAUCCCUCAAAGCCGGUCGCAGUUCGGAUUGAAGUCUGCAACUCGACUUCAUGAAGCUGGAAUCGCUAGUAAUCGUGGAUCAGCCAAGCCGCGGUGAAUACGUUCCCGGGCCUU